UGAUGCACAAGCAGCUCCUCCUUUUCCACAACGCCGUCUCGGCCUACUUCAGCGGCAACCAGACGGCCCUCGAAGCCACCCUAAAGCAGUUCAACAUUAAGCUACGCAGUCCUAACUCCGCCCCCCCAUCCUGGCUGGAACAAUCAACGCCCGAGACGACGACUUUUCAGACAAUCUUUGGCACUUUAAGUUCUCCGACUUCGAAGUAGAAUAGAGAAAGAGAGAGAGAGGAAAGGAGAAGGAGAGAGAGAGAGAGAGGAAAGGAGAAGGAGAAGGAGAGAGAGAGAGAGAGGAAAGGAGAAGUAGAAGGAGAGAAAGAGAGAAGAAGAUGAAAGAGAGAGAGGAAAGGAGAAAGAGAGGAGAGAAAGAGGAAAGGAGGAGAGAGAGAAGGAGAAAGAGAGAGAGGAGAAGAUGAAGGAGAGGGAGAGAGAAGGAGAAGUAUACAUUCCAUUUGAGAGAAAGAAAAUGAGAAGGAAAGAGAGAGGAGAAGGAAAAACAGAGAAAGAGGAAAAGGGAGAAAGAGAAGGAGAAGGAAAAAAGGAGGAAGAGAAAAGGAGAGAGAAGGAGAGUGAAAGAGAGAGAGAGAGAGAAGAGGAGAAGUUAGGGCAUUUUUUUCUAGUCGAGGGGAUACUUAAAUAAAGAGAGAGAAAAAAAAAAGAAAAUGAGUGAAAAAGAAAGAAAGGAAAAAAACGAUGAACGAAAGAAAAAGAAAAACAGUAAAGGCAUUUUUUUUUUUAUUCACUCAAAAGGAAAUAGAAAAGAAAAGAAAAAAUGGUUAAAAGAUAAGAGAGUUUGGAUUUACAUAUAUA